UUAUUCUAGAGUGUGUGUGUGAAAUGAAGUGAAAGAACGCACACAGAAAAAGAAAAGAAAAGGAGAGAAAAAAAGAAAGGGAAUGAGAGAACGAGAAAGAGGGAAAGGUUGACAGCAAGGGAGAAGAGGACGGCGGCUCCAGCGGAGGGAUGGCAUGGCCGAGCCUCGACGGCGGCGGCCACCUGUAUGGGUUGUUUGGCAGUGCAAGUCCAUCUUCUGGGUUGGUGAUUUUGGGUCAGAGGAGGUAGGGUUUGAUUUUGGUAAUUAGUGGCUGAUGGUUCUCAGAGGGCUUGAUUACAGGGACGUGAACUUCGAUGAAGCUCCUUCUUCUUCUCUGCCUUGUGCGUGCCACCUCUCUUAUGUGUGCUCCUAGUUCUUCUGCUUGCUAUUUUUUACAAUUGAGAAUCAAUGAUCAAGAGAUGUGAUCACCAAUUCAAGAGGUUGGGGGGCGGUGAAGAAUUUGCUGUAAGCUGGUGAGUCUUGCUGUGUAAUCUUUGACAGUAAAUUUCCCUAAGCUGUAAUCAUUUCUAGGUGUCCAACAAUUCCAAAAUUGCGGCUCUGCACUCCCAUCUCAUCCUUCUUUUUACAAUUUCUCAUCUUUUUUAUGUCAGAAGAAGGUAAAAAUUAAAUUAAACACACAGCUUAUUCAUGGUGAACCCUUGGGAAGUAGCAUAUUAUCUUCUGCAUAGUCAAUUUUCACACCAUCUUCUCUUUCUCUAUCACAUGCCAACGCCACCCCCAUUUAAUUCCUCAACUUUUUAACACUGUAUAUUACCUUGCCACUAAGUUUCCCCUGACUUCCUUCUUUCUUUCAUUUUUCAUUUAGUCACUUUCAUGACUUCCCUUCUUUCUCCCUUCUAAUCUCUAAUUUAAUUUUAAGAGCAACUCCAACCCCAAAAUUCUUAUUUGGUUUCUUAACACACUAUUCUUGUGGGCCCGUACUGCCACAUCAGACUUAAGAAACUCCUAAGAAACUGAAGUAGAUUUUGCUCCAACCCAUGAUUUCUUAAAUUACUAUUUGAAGGGUCUCACCCGUGUCCCACCAUACAACAUAAAUUAAUAAUAUUUAUUUUCACCCAAUUUAAAUUUAACAUUUAAUACUAAAUCAAUACUUCAACUUAAAAAUAAUUUAAUUAAAAUUAAUAUGAAUUUAAUUUAAAUUUAAUUUUACUUAAUAUUUAAAACAAUUAAAUUUAAAUAUCGGCAUGUUAACUUGAAAGUAAAAUAAAAAAGUACAUUGUGUUUUUUAUAGCAAAAACAAUUUUAUUGAAUGAUAGAAAUAAAGACGAAAGAAAAUAUAUGACAAUGAAAAAUAAACAACAAUACAUUUGAAAUGAAAUACAUAAUAACACUUGAAGGUUAAUUUUCAUUAUUCUCGUUUUCGGGAAGCUGCCAAAUAUGCUCCACCAAGUCUGCUUGAAGUUGGUGAUGAAUUGACCUAUCAAUUUGAUGUGCUCUUCAUUCCAAGAUAUUUCUAAAAGCGGGAAUAAGACCACUUACUAUUUCAGCAUCCAAUAUGUCAUUAUUGACCUGAUCAUAAACAAAAUUACCUCGGUACGUGUUGCGCUCAUCUUCAACAAUCAUGUUGUGCAAUAUGAUGCAAGCAUACAUUAUUGACUUCAUCUCAUUCGGAUGCCAAAAGCGUGAUGGACCACGAACUAUUGCAAACCGAGAUUGGAGAACGCCGAAUGCACGUUCAACGUCCUUUCUUGCUGCUUCUUGUCUUUUCGCAAAUUUUUGCCUUUUUUUCUCCUUGUGGCAUUGGGAUGGUCUUCACAAAUGUAGCCCACGAGGGAUAAAUACCGUCUGCUAGAUAGUAUCCCAUGUUAUACAUUGUUCCAUUCACGCUAAAGUUCACCAUGGGAGCAUUUCCACUCAAAACCUCAUUAAAAACAGGAGAUUGGUUUAGCACAUUAAUGUCAUUGUUAGAACCUGCAAUGCAAAAAAAUGCAUGCCAAAUCCACAAGUCUUGUGAUGCCACUGCUUCAAGCAUGAUUGUGGGCUUUCCAUGAUCACCUCGGGUGAAUUGACCUUUCCACGCAACUGGACAAUUCUUCCAUUCCCAAUGCAUACAAUCAAUAGAACCCAACAUACCUGGAAAUCCACGAGACUCCCCCCAUUGAAGUAAGCGGGUAAUGUCUUCCUGGUUCGGGCGCCUCAAGUAUGUUUCACCAAAUACUGCACACACACCUUCCACAAAAUUCUUUAAGCACUCAAUUGCAGUACUUUCACCAAUUCGAACGUACUCGUCAACACUGUCAGCAGGUGAUCCGUACGCCAACAUACAAAUAGCGGCGAUGCACUUUUGUAAUGGUGACAGGCCUUGUCUUCCAACUGCAUCGACAGACAUUAAAAAGUACGGGCCAUGAGACCCAAGGGCCCCUACAAUUCUGAGGAACACAUGCUUUUGCAUUCGAAACUUUCGUCGGAAAAGCUCUUCCGUGUACACAGGAUUUUCGGAGAAGUAGUCAUUCCACAACCGCUCGUUCCCAGCUUCACGAUCUCUCUUUAUCACCUUUCUUGUUCGCUUGGGCCUAACGGUGUUGGCACGUCGUUGAUAAAACUCCAUCUCCUCCUGCAUCAUAUCUUCUAUAGUCGUGUCAUUCAUAAUAUCGUCAAUAAUUACGUCGUAAAUGUCCAAGUCGGCCAUAUUGUUUGGAUCCAUUCUAUGACACAAUGAGAAACUAUCAGUGUAAUUUGAUAGGAGGAAGACAAUAUGAGAGGACAAAAGAACUCUUGAAUGUUGAGAUGAAUGAAAUAUGACAUGUAUAAAUAAGAUAAACAACAACGGCUUUAUUCCCCAACGACUAUAUUCUCCAACGACUAUAUUCCCCAACGGCUAUAUUCCACAACGGCUAUAUAUCCCAACAGCUAUAUAUCCCAACGGCUAUAUUCUCCAACGGCUAUAUUCCACAACGACUAUAUUCUCCAACGGCUAUAUUCCACAACGGUUAUAUUCCCCAACGACUAUAUUCCCCAACGGCUAUAUUCUCCAACGGCUAUAUUCCCCAACGACUAUAUAGAACACAUAAGUAGAAACGCAGUACACAUUAAGAAAAAUUCGAAUACUGAAAUUACAACAUUAAUGCAGAAAAGUUCGAAUACUAAAAUUACAACAUUAAUGCAGAAUACAUAAGUAGAAAUGCUAAAAUUACAACACUGAUGAAAUACACAUAAGUAGAAAUGCUAAAAUUACAACACUAAUGCAGAAUCAAUAAGUAGAAAUGCUAAAAUUACAACAUUGACACAUAUUAAGAAAGACAACAACAAGAAUUAAGACAUUCCUAGUUCAUUCAUGGCGAAUUCAACUAGGCGCUGAUGCGUUGCUAACUGCACCUCGUUCAUUUCAGAUGUGUACUCCAUAAGGAUAUCUUUGUAUUCCUUCAAUAACCGCGCCUUAUGAAGUUUGUUUUUUUCCUUUCUCACCUCCAGUUCUUCGGUCUUGAGCUUCUGUAAACUCGCUAGGAAUCCCAGUUUAGCUUUCCCGAUGGCUAUCAUCUCGGAGUUAGGAACAUAACUGAGAUCACUUGAAGCUGUGUCUCCUACUUUGGCUUUCCUUUUCUGGUUCUUUUUUCCCAACGGGCAGGUUGCUGGUUGUGUGGCCUCAUAUUCGUCGCCCUCGAUUGAUGCACUCGGGUUAGACGAUGUUGCAUACGCCCCAUCUCCUGACUUCUUCUGCCUCGUUGAACUGGUUGUCAUAAAUGUUCCCUUCCACUUUGGUUCAUCCUUCACCAACCGCCAUUCAUUCUCAUGUUUGAAAUCUUUACCCGUAUCUACGUGAUAUAAUUGAUGCGCCGUGGCCAUGAUGUCCUUAUCUGAGUGUCCACUUUUCCAAUGAUUGACGGCUUUAGUGUGGCAACCGAAAAAUUUUUGAAGAUCAGCAUUCAAUUUAUUAAAAUGAGAUUUCAGGGAUAACCAUGUCCUCGAAGGAGAGGCAUCGUCACGGUACUCCUCAUAUUGGGCUCGGAUCUUAUUCCAAAACAAAUCUGACUUUUGCUCAUUUCCCACGACCCGAUCGGUAGAAACGUUGAGCCAUGAUUGAAGAAGAAGUAUAUUAUCUUUACCACUCCAUUUGGUGCGUUUCUUUCCGGAUUCUUCAAGAUCAAUAUCAUCUAGACCCCGUUGAGUAGAAAAUUCAGGCUCAUCAGGCAUAGCCUCACAUUGUGUACUUGAGACUUUUGAACUGCUGCUACCAGUGGGAGGUGCUUGGUAUUGUGGUGGAUACAUGCAAUAUUGUGGAUUGUUUGGAUAAGGCAUUUGUGGUAAAUAUGGUCCCAUUUGACACUGAGGUUGGUUUUGAUGGUAGAACAAUUGUGGAAACAUUUGAUACGAAGGAUUUUGAACAUUACCACUGGUGUGAGGAGGUUGGUUUUGAGGGUGACACAUCUGCGGAGGUUGGCUUUGUGGUUGAUACAUCUGCGGAUGUGGGUUUUGUUGUUGGAACAUCAGCAUAGGUUGGCUUUGCGGGCGAAUCAUCUGCGAAUGUUGGUUUUGUUGUUGGAACACCAUCAUAGGUUGACUUUGCGGGUGAAUCAUCUGCGGAGGUUGGUUUUGUGGUGGAAACAUAGGCGAAGGUUGCAAACCUUCACUUGUAGGAGGUGUUUCAUUGUCGAGCAGUGGAUAAUAUUGCUCAUAAGGAUUAGACAUUUUGAGAAAUUUGAGAAUUUUUGGACAAGAGAGAAAUUGUGGGAGUAAAUGUUGGUGUUUCAAAUGGUCUACUGCACUAUAUAUAAGGUAAAGAAGCUGGGAAUUGAAAAACGGCCAGAAAACCGGUCAAACCGGUCAAUUUAAAAAAAUUCAAAAAAAAGCCCAAACGGGCAGAAAACCGGCUCCAGCCGGUCUGGACCGGUCCAUAACGGUGGGAUGACCGGCUCAGCCGGUCACCCACUAUAAAAUCUAUUUUUCCUGACUCACUUUCCAUUCCUACUCAACCCUAGCCGCUCCUCUCCUUCUUCCUCUCUUCUCUCACGCUCACCUUCUUCUUCAAGCUCUCUCACUCACCUUCUUCCUCAAGCUCUCUCACUCACCUUCUUCUUCCUCGAGCCCUCUCCCUAACCUGCAUCAUGCCUCCUUUUCCCCUUCCUCGAGCCCUGACCUGCAACACCUCCUCUCUGCCUCACUUCUCCUUUUCUCCUUCCUCUCGACGCCUCCUCUUCUCCUUCCUCUCUCCUUCACUUCUUCUCCCUCGAUCUCUCUGGUCCACGCCUCCAAAGCCCCAGCCGAUCACCAAACAGCAACCGCCGCCACCAAACAACCACAUGCAGUCACCAUCGGCCACCAAACAACCACCACCGCCACCAUACAGCCUCAAUCCGACCCCCACAACCCCUGUUUCAUAGCUUCAAAGCCUUGAAGCUUGCAAAAAUUCUUCCUUUUCACACAUGCAAGGGGAAAUACUUUCAGAUCAGAGCUUCCAGAACUUCACCAGAGAAGAUUUUUUAUUUUAUUUAUGUAAAUAUCAAUUUUUGUGUUUUAAGUUUCAAUUUCUUCAUGUAAAGUUUCAAUUCAUUCAAUAAAAUUGCAAUUUUCGUCCUC